rnacentral:rRNA from 1 species
UACGGAGGGUGCGAGCGUUGUCCGGAAUCACUGGGCGUAAAGGGCGCGUAGGUGGCGAAGCAAGUCAACGGUGAAAGCUCGACGCUCAACGUCGAGUCGGCCGUCGAUACUGCAUCGCUCGAGCACUGUAGAGGCAGAUGGAAUUCCGGGUGUAGCGGUGGAAUGCGUAGAGAUCCGGAGGAACACCAGUGGCGAAGGCGGCCGCCUGGACCUGACCUGACGCUGAGGCGCGAAGGCGCGGGGAGCGAACGGG